UGCAGUCGAGCGGACAGAAGGGAGCUUGCUCCCGGAUGUUAGCGGCGGACGGGUGAGUAACACGUGGGUAACCUGCCUGUAAGACUGGGAUAACUCCGGGAAACCGGAGCUAAUACCGGAUAGUUCCUUGAACCGCAUGGUUCAAGGAUGAAAGACGGUUUCGGCUGUCACUUACAGAUGGACCCGCGGCGCAUUAGCUAGUUGGUGGGGUAAUGGCUCACCAAGGCGACGAUGCGUAGCCGACCUGAGAGGGUGAUCGGCCACACUGGGACUGAGACACGGCCCAGACUACUACGGGAGGCAGCAGUAGGGAAUCUUCCGCAAUGGACGAAAGUCUGACGGAGCAACGCCGCGUGAGUGAUGAAGGUUUUCGGAUCGUAAAGCUCUGUUGUUAGGGAAGAACAAGUGCGAGAGUAACUGCUCGCACCUUGACGGUACCUAACCAGAAAGCCACGGCUAACUACGUGCCAGCAGCCGCGGUAAUACGUAGGUGGCAAGCGUUGUCCGGAAUUAUUGGGCGUAAAGGGCUCGCAGGCGGUUUCUUAAGUCUGAUGUGAAAGCCCCCGGCUCAACCGGGGAGGGUCAUUGGAAACUGGGAAACUUGAGUGCAGAAGAGGAGAGUGGAAUUCCACGUGUAGCGGUGAAAUGCGUAGAGAUGUGGAGGAACACCAGUGGCGAAGGCGACUCUCUGGUCUGUAACUGACGCUGAGGAGCGAAAGCGUGGGGAGCGAACAGGAUUAGAUACCCUGGUAGUCCACGCCGUAAACGAUGAGUGCUAAGUGUUAGGGGGUUUCCGCCCCUUAGUGCUGCAGCUAACGCAUUAAGCACUCCGCCUGGGGAGUACGGUCGCAAGACUGAAACUCAAAGGAAUUGACGGGGCCCGCACAAGCGGUGGAGCAUGUGGUUUAAUUCGAAGCACGC
rnacentral:rRNA from 2 species